rnacentral:tRNA from 1 species
UCCAAUAUGGUGUAACGGUUAGCAUACGGGGCUUUCAAUCCCUAGACCCGGGUUCAACUCCCGGUAUUGGAA